AGCUAAGUUUAAUAGAACAAGGUACGACUGAAUAUUUGCACUAACUAUCUAAAACUAGCUACUCAAAGCUACUCAAAGCUAUCUAACUGCAGCACUCCAAGUCUUACUUGCCGUCUAUGAAUGGUAACUCAACUUUUCAAGGAUUAGUGGCAAUGGUGAAUUUAAUGACAGUGCAGGGAGAACCUGGAUUGGAGAGCGUUCUAUGGACUCUAAAACUAUAACUAAAUCUAAAACUGUCAUGUUCAAUUUUGACACGUAGUUAUGUUUUUAUGAUUAUUUUAAUGAUGUGUGCUGAUCAAACAUGCAGUACGUACGUAUGUAACCAGGCCACUAGUUGUUAAGGGCAAAUCGUAUGUCAUUUAUAUAGCUAUAAUUAUACUGCAGCUGAUCAAUGAGAUGCGAAGGUGCAUAGACAUUGGACACCGUAUUAAUUAUUAUUACGUAUGCAUGUAUGUGAAAAACAGCACAAAUCACUACCAAUUUAGAGUCCGACUAUAAUGUGUACAGUACUAAUCAGCAAAAUCAACAAAAGUCAUUGGUGAAUACCAUGAGUCCAUAAAAGUUCAGUUUUAACACAGAUGACAUUAAAAACAAGUGGUGACAGUUUAAUUCUAAUUAUUAAGGUUAUUAGCGACUAACGGCUGCUGAUCGGGAUUUACCUCUACACGAAGUGCUAAUUUAUGUUUACGGUAAAUUUUGUAACAGCAUAGUAUCACUACAAUUGUGAUCAAAAGUAAUGCUCCACUGACAAUAGCCAAGACAAUUGUGAUCGCCUCAUAAUCAGGAGGGCUUGGGGUGCCUGGGCUGCCUGGGGUGCCUGGGGUAGGGGUACCUGCACAGACAGAGAGUUAUGGUUAUACUGAUACGUAUUAUUGCUUUUUAAUAAGUGCUGACAUCAGCGUUUUACAUUCAAAUUGCACAGGAAGCGACUCAUUAUCAAGUGUGCAGAUAUUUUUCCAUAUCGCAUACAUCCAGAAGUAUAAUUGCACACUUGUUAUUCACUAGGAAGUGAUUCUUAAUUGGAAUGAAACGUUUUCAGCAGUGAGAGAACAAGAAAAACAAUAAUUUACACACUUGUGAUCAUGCAAUGCAAUGUUUAUCAGUCUCUUUUCAUGUUUUCUGAUGCUCUAAAUUUUGCAGUGAGGCUGAGGGUCAUGAGGUUGUCAGUGUUCAGUUUAGCAGUCAUAUUAACAAGAGGCAUCAGUAUUGGGAAUGAAUAGCCUCGUUCCCAGGCCUUACUUUUUCUUGCUGUUGUCAUCGAGGGGUCCGCAACGGCCAGGAAUCUCGUAUAAAAUUUUUGGAAUCUCAACUGAAAUCUUGAAAUCUCACUUGGAAUCUUGAAAUCUUGUGGAAUCUUUGGAAUCUUGUGGAAUCUCUGGAAUCCCUUGGAAUCUCUGAAAUCUCUUGGAAUCUCUGAAAUCUUGUGGAAUGUUAAUGAGAUACCCGUAAAUGUAUAUAAAUAAUUCGUAUACUUCGCCGUAGAUUAUUAUUGAGGUUGCAGUAGCCUCGAGACCAGGCCGAUUAUCGAGGCUGCGGUUGCAGGCUCAGCUGCUAUUUACAUCUCUCUCUCUAUGAGAAUCCUCCUCAUAGCAGCUCUGUGUGCAGAUUAUAGACGAUUCCUAAAGAGAUUAAGGCUGAACAGCAAAGUGAUGACAAAGCUCUCCCAAAAUCAGCUCCAAACUGCCCACUCUUAAUGCCGAGAGUGAGCUUAUGGUUGAGUGAAUCUGAUGCAGUACCAGCGUAAUAAUUUAUAGUUGAAAGUUGCAUAAUUAUAUAUAGAUCUAUGCAUCACAGGACGGACGAAGCGAGGGACAAGGCUCCAAGUCCAAACUGUCCACUCUUAAUGAGAGUGAGCUUAUGGUGGUAUGCAGUACCAGCGUAAUAAUUGUUGUCAUGAAGUUUGUAUAUGCAUCACAGGAUGGACGAAGCGAGGGACAAGGCUCCCCUUCUCAUCUUAAUGGUAGUGAGCUUAUUGUGCCGGAUGGACAAAGCGAGGGACGUAGUUAUGUUUUUAUGAUUAUUUUAAUGAUGUGUGCAUGCUGAUCAAACAUGCAGUACGUACGUAACCAGGCCGAUCAAUGAGAUGUGAAGGUGCAUAGACAUUGGACAUCGUAUUAACUUAUUAUUAGGUACGCAUGUAUGUGAAAAACAGCACAAAUCACUACCAAUUUAGAGUCCGACUAUAAUUAU